UUCCCAUAAAAGGUAAUUUAUUUUCAAUCAAUGCCAUAAAUUAAAACAUUCAAAAAAUGCUAAUAAUUACAACAAAUUUGUUCAGCUUUCCCUGAAAACAAACCAAAUGCAACUUCUAAGUAGACAAUAUUAGCUUUGUUUUGAGUGGAAAACAUUGGCUGCAGUGACACAUAUUGAGCAUGCUUUGAGCUCACACCAUCUUAGAUAUAGCAUCAUCAUAAAUCUUCUUUCUUAGCUGUCUUUUCAUUCUUCUCUGAAACACUAUCUUGUUGUUCACUGGAGGUAUUAUUUUCCUCUUUCCCUGUACCGCUUUCUGGCGUAUUUUCUCGUUCACCAAUUUCUUUCUGUUCAUCAACAAAAUCAAAGAGUUCCUGGUCAUCCUCAG